UAAAAUAUUUUAGCCGCAUUAAUUUGCUAAGUGUAGAUGCAAUAACAUUGUAGAUCAAAAAUUAAAUGCUAUGGUAAAUGUAAAUAUCUUUAAUUUUAAUUAAAAUAUUUUAAGUUUACACAAAAUAGUUUUGUUUUUAUAUGUUUCUUUUUUUCUUUCUUCUCCAUAGGAAGAAACCAGAGAAGUCUUCAGAUUCAAUCAGCUUGGCUUCCUCAAAUUCUCGGAUUUGAUCUCUUGCCACCGUCGAUUGAAGCUUCAGCACCACACUCCUUUUGACACCGUCGCUCUUUACCACCACUACCACCAGCUCGUCACCACCAUCGCCAUCUCUCUCUGAUUAGGGUUCAGAUUAGGGUUCCCAAGGUCGCUCCUGCUCCUCAUACGGUUUCUGGGUUGGAGAUGGCGGCAUUGAUGAAGCGGCGGAGGAGGCUUCGGCGCAGAAGAAACGUGUUUCUCUUCAGAGACAAGCCGCCGUUACGGUUGAGGCUGCUGAGGAUUACGCUCGGAGGUUUGAAUCUGGUGUCAAUGAGCUUUCCUCUCUAUCUAACGAUCAGGUUGGUGAGGAGUUGGCUCAGUCCGGCGUGAAUGUAAUGUGCAAAAUGUUGUUUUUGGGAGAAAGCCAAGGAAGUGAGAGAGCAAGGAGGAUGCUUUCUUGUAAAAGCUGUGGCAAGAAGUACAAUAAGAAUUGUGUAAAUCUUGGACUCAACAUAUAGGUGCUUUCAUUUGAUUCGUUGCAGAUUUGUUUCAUUGGAGUUCAUGGAGUUGUCCCUCGUGCCGUGUUUGUGAGAUUCCAAAUGGAUUGCUGCAAGAUUGCAAGAGUCUACAAAAUCUUUCUCUGCAUAACAAUCCCAUUUCAAUGGAUGAGUUUCGGCUGAUGGAAGGGCUGGACCUUGAAGACUGUCCUGAAAAAGAGCCUCUUGGUCAUGGGUUCUAUGCAGACUUUACUAUGGCAACAAGGAUAACAAUACCAGAUUUCAUCACCGAGACUAUCUGUUAUAUUUUGCAAUGUGUUCAUGUGUUUCAUGUAUUUGAUUUUGUGUGUGUUUGAAUUAUUUUGGAAUCUAAUUUUUUUUAACCCCUAAUCCCUAAAUAUAUUUUAACCCCUAAACCCUAAAUAUAUUCCUAAAAUCUAAAUUUUAUACUUUUAAACUUUAUAUAAAAAUACAAUUCAAUAUAAAUAUACUAAUUCAAACCGGAUCCAUCUAGUAUCCUAAAUCUAAUACUCUAAAAUUCAAACAUAAAUGAUAUUCUAAAUACUAAAUAAAAUCUCUAAAUAAUUUUUUUCAGAUUUUAAAUCCAAAAUUUAAACUUAAACUCUUAAUCUAAUUUUUUAAAAACUCCAUUCAAAAUCUUAAAUGUAAACCUUAAAUCUCCAUCAAAUUCUAUACCCUAAAUCCUAAACCCUAAAUCCUAACUUCAAACAUAAACAUAUACCACUAAAUAUAAACUUCCAAUAUAAAUUUUAAAAAUUUAACAAACUUCAAAUUUAAAUCUUAAUCACAAACUUUUAUAUACAACUCUAACUCUUACACUUUCAAAACUCUCAAUCCCUAAAUCAUAAUGAAUUGAUCUUUAAUCUACACUUUAUAUCUAAUACCCUAUACCCCAAACUUGAACUCUACAUACAAAAUCAUAAAUCUAAUCUUUACAAACUUAUAAUAGAAAUUUUAAAUUGAACUCUAAAUAUAUUCUAAAAUUCAAAUCAUAUACUUAAUCCUAAAUCUUCACCCUAACUUCUAAACCACAUAUCUCAUUUUAACAUAUAUCAUAAAACAUCAAAUCUUCAUUUUUAAUAAAUUAUAAUUUUGUAAAUAAAUUAAAAUUUAAAAUACAAAAUUUAGACUUCAAGUUUUCAAUUAUGAUAUCAAAGUAUUUAAAGCUUAAAUCAUUUGUAUAAUAGCUAUAAAUAAAUAAGAAGACAAUUUGUAUUGUUUUUUUUUUAACCAUUGAUUGAUUUGAAUCAAAGGCCCAAAAUCACUCUUGUAUUUAUCCCCACACUUUUUUCCUAUUGGUUUACUUGUUUAUGACAUGGAUCACCAUCUGUACCCUUGGAUGAUAUUGAAUCAACGCUUGAGAUUAAUUAUUCUUCUUUUCUUUGUUUUUUAAUUAUCUUUUCUGAUAUACGAGAGGAGAGAGAGAGAGAGAGAGAGAGAGAGAGAGAGAGAGAGAGAGAGAGAGAGAGAGAGAGAGAGAGAGGAGAUGGAGUUCGUAGAUGAUAAAGGAGAAGUCGACACGGCCGGUCGUUACCACCACCACCACCAUCGCUCGUUACCACCACCACCAUCGCCAUCUCUCCCAUCCCCAAUCGCUCGUUACCAUCACCACCAUCAUCAUCUCUCCCAUCCCCAAUCGCUCUUCACCACCACCAUCGCUUCUCAGAUCCGUCUUCACCACCGUCACGCUCGUCAUAACCACCACUGUUCACUUCUCUGUCUCUCACUCUAUGUCUCUGGUGGAGCAUACAGGACCAAGAGCUGCCAAAACUAUGUCCCAGCGUUUGCAAGGUGGUGGUUGUGACUCGUGAGCAAGAGCUGAUGUUGUGCAGAGGAGAUGUCUCGAACUCGUCUCCGUCUAGAUUCACACGAAUGUUGCAGUCUCUCACUGGAAUUGCCAAGUGCAGCCUUUGAAGGAUUAUACAGAUAAAACGUUGCUCUACGGCAGACUUGAAGACAAUCAUGCUUAAGUAUGGGUGUUGAGAUAAGUUAUCUUGUUCGUUGAUCUUGUACUGAUUGGUUCCCGUCUUAAGCAUAGGUGUAUGUCCUCAAAUCAUUGUAUUUAGCAACACUUGUUCUGUGUGCUUUUCAGAUAAUGGGGAAGCUUGAAGAAGGUGGAAGAGACAGAUGAACCUCGAGGAAGGUUGAAGUGAAACAACGAGCUUGAGGAAGGCGGCGGCUUAGGUUUUGUUAUUAGGUUAAUGUGUUUUAAUUAGUUUUUGUUUAAUAUGUACUUGUUUAGUUUUGUAAAAUUGAAUAUUUGUAAACUGAUUUUAAUUAAUAAAUAAAAUUUCAUUUUUAUUA